AAGAUAGCACUUUUUCCAAAGUCUAAACCAGCACUCUAUAUUUUAGUAAGCUGAUUUGUCUUACUCAACAGAAAACUGCCAUUUGUGAAAGGGGGAAAACAUAUAUAUAUAUAUAAUAGACAGAGUAUUGCUAUUCAAGCAUUACAUUAAUUGUAUACAGAAAAUUGUGAGAACCAGAACUGUUUGUUUUGUAAUUUCCUUCUAAAGUAUUACUGGGUUUUUUUGUUUGUUUGUUUCGUUUUUAAUAACCUGACACUUGCAAUAUUCGGUAAUGGUCAUGCUCUUCCUUCUUGAGCUCAAAGGCUUUACUUUUCUGUCCACUGCCAUCAUCAGGUUAUUUAUUUUAAUUUUCCUUUAUCCUUCAUCACGUGCUCUCCAUAUUUGAUUUUGAUGUGUGUAUUAGUCAGGGUUCUCUAGAGUCACAGAACUUAUGGGUAGUCUCUAGAUAGUAAAGGAAUUUAUUGAUGACUUACAGUCGGCAGCCCAAUUCCCAACAAUUGUUCAGUCGCAGUUGUGAAUGGAAGUCCAAGGAUCUAGCAGUUAGUCUCACACAGUAAGCAGGCGAAAGAGCAAGAACAAGAGCUAUACUCCCUUCUUCCAAUGUCCUUAUAUUAUCUCCAGCAGAAGGUGUAGCUCAGAUUAAAGGUGUGUCCACCACACCCUUAAUCCCAGAUGAAAGGUGUAGCCCAGAUUAAAGGUGUGUUCCUUAAAUUUGGAGAUUUAAUCUUCUGGAAUCCAUAGCCACUAUGGCUCAAGAUCUCCAUACCAAGAUCCAGAUAAGGAUCUCCAAGCCUCCAGAUAAGUUUAACUGGUGAGCCUUCCAGUUCUGGAUUGUAGUUCAUUCCAAAUAUAGUCAAGUUGACAAGCAGGAAAAGCCACUACAAUGUGUUAUUAUUUAUUUAUAUUGUAAUAAAUAGGUCUCACACAGUGUUUCAUCACUGAAAUUUUUAUCUAGUUCUGUACUGUUUUCUUCACUGCUCUCCUAAAACUGUUCCUUUAAAAUUUACUAGAGAUAAUCACAUUAUUAAUUUUUACUUAGUACUGACUGGCCCUCCCUUAAAUGUUACAUUUGAAAAAGGUAAACACUUAUGUCUUCAUAGUGUUUUUUCGUUCCCUCCUUUUAUUUCAAUAUCCAUACUUCACUUUUCUGCUCAGUGACAAUGUUCCCUCUGCUGAUUUACUGUUUCUCCGUUGUCUAAGGUAUGCUCUCUCCUGUUGGCAGAUACCAAGCUGCUCCUCUCUUCUCUUUAUGUUCACUGCCUUGACACUUGCCUCAGAUCUGUCCAAGGAAGGUGGUGAAUAUCUGUCUCCUUUGUGUAUUUUUGGUAGAACUGACAUUUACCCUAGAGUAUCUCAGAACAUCGAGAUGUGUUAUGUGGCCAUUUAGGACUUCACCCUUCCUGUCUACCUGAGGCAUUGCCAUCCAAAGUUAUUCAGACUGCAUCCAGUCAUAUUAUUUUCUUUAUUCUUUUCUACUUCCCAUUCCCUGCUGUACACACACACACACACACACACACACACACACACACACACACACACACACAUACACACUUGAAAUGGACCUUUUCUUCCAAACUAACACCAGUCCUGGGAAAAAAUAAUAAUUUAAUAUCUUACAUUUAUAUCUGAAAUGUUCUACCACUCCUAUGUUUAAUUUUUUAACUUUGGCUCUACCCAAAAGUUCCAGUUCAGGCAGCUUCCAUGUGUUUUGCAACUUACUUCCUGUCAGAUCACAGCUCUGUUGAAGCUUUUAAUCACUUCUCAUUUCACUUAAAGAUAAACAAACAAACAAACAUAAACAAACUUCUUUCCACAUUGCAUGAACAGCAUUCCCACCCUGAAGUUGUGUCCUGAAUUAUUUUGCCAUAGCAUUAUAUCCAUCUGAACAGUUUCUAUUUUAUUUAUUGUUUUAAUUAUUACACUGAUUUCAACAUAAUAUUUUCAAGGAUUUGUGAAGUGUUUAUUGAUAUACCUCUAGUUUCUUAAUUAGUUCAGGGCCUGCAAAUCACAUCAAAUUAUUAAUAGGAAGAUUAUACUUUUUAAUCAUCUAAUAUUGCCACAAUUCUGUGAAGAUUUAAGGGCAGGUUUUGGUGAAAAAAGUAGUGAAUUUGUUUUACUAAUUAAAGUAUAUUUUAUAUUCUUCUUCAGUUGAAUCUUUUGUCAGAUAUGUUAAUAAAAGGAAGCAAGAUAUAUGUGACAGUUUUCUGCAAUUCAUAUUUGUCAGGAAAUCAACACAGUCACAAUACUGGAAGUUUUACUGAAGGUAAAUUAAAGUUUCUACUCUGAAAGCCCCCUAUAUCCUCCCCCCGACCUGCUCCCCAACCCACCCAUUCCCGCUUCCUGGCCCUGGCGUUCCCCUGUACUGGGGCAUAUAUCUUAGCCAUUCUGGUUGGUGUAAGGUGCAAAUGCUUUUAUAACGUCGUGAAGGAGGAGGAGCGUUGAGAAUCCUGAAAGCUUCUGGAUAUUCCUGAGAUUUGAGAGUUGUUUACUUCCUGAGCAAUGUAAGUUUCUCAUUUUUAGAGUCUUUACAAACUUCUUCCAGGACACAGCAUCUCAUUUUGGAGGAAACUGCUAAAGAACAAUAGUAAAAAUGCAAUAAUUCUACAACAUAAGAAACACUGUUCAAGGCCACAGAAUAGGCUGUAUGGACCAACUGAAACUCUGGAAACAUUAUCUCCCGUAUAAAUUCCUUAGGUCAAAUUAGAAUUUAUGACGCCAGAGUCCAUAAAAGCAACAACACAAAACUAUCGCACUAUUUCAAGAUAAGUUCUGAGAAUUUUAUAUUUGAGAAUCAUGUGUGUAAAUUAUUUAAAACCUCACCAUAGUCUAUAUAUUUUAGAAUCAUCAACACAUAUGAAAAAAUUGAGUUACAAAGAAACAUUACAGAUGAAAUGUUCUGAUGCAUCAAUUUUAGAUAUGUUUUAAAGAGUAAAAAUGAAAAUAAACUUUCUUUGUACAUUCCUUUACUUUUGCUACCAAAGUCAGGAGAAUUACCUGUCAGUUAUAUAUGUAGCCCAGUUAUCCAUUCCCAGGGAAAUGUUCCUACUGUUCUGAGUGUGGUAAAUGCUGGCUCACAUUAGAUGCCUGUGGAGUUGAUGGCCUACAUGUUACCUUGAUCAGGGUCUCCUGAGACUCAUUGAGCUCUUUGAUAGUUCAGUAAAUGGCAUGUGACACUUCAUAAGCAUUCAGGAAACAUCUCUAUUGUUUGAUUCAUUCCCAAGAAAUGACUUUAGUGUGAACACAGCCGAGUUUAUAAUUCUAGUAUAACUACUUGACUCAUACAAACAUUUUUUUUUCAAAUAGUCAUUUGAACAUGAGAACCGAAAGUAAAAAAAGGCUGGCUGUUAUACUUUUAAGUUUUACAAAAACAAUAGAUUUUAUGUCCAUAAAAAUGUACAUGAAUUUAUACAACUGUAGUGUACAACUUUAGAAAAUAUAUUUUAAAAUUUGCAUCUUUCAUUUUUUAGUGCCAUCUCACUUGACCUGAUUUAUUCCUUUUGUGUUUGGUAUUUCUUUUCUCAGUGUCUCCCUUCUUCUAUAAGUAAUCAGUUAUGAUAGUGGAAAUCUAUAUAUUCUUUCUGAAUAGAUAAAAAGGUUUUUUAAAUAGAAUUCUGUUUUCUUCUCUUUAAAACCAUGUGUAUCUGUAGAAUGUGAGUGAACUCAAACCCCACACUCACAGAACACACACACACAUAUACACAAACACACCGAGUACCUUUAUAUAAAUGUUCAUAUAGCUAACAUACCAGGUUUUCAUGCACAUGUGCAAUUUGUUUGUAUGUGGGUAUAUAUGUUUAUAACACUUGUACAUGUUUUUGAUGUGACCAUGUGGAAGCCAGAGAAUGACAUAAUUUUAGUUUUGGAAUGAUCUUCAUUUUCUUUGGUGAGCCAAGGUCAUUGAAUCUUGAAUUCUCUCAUUCUGCUGGUAUAGACAAUCCAAUCACUGCGACAGGAAUUCUGCUGGUAGAGACAAUCCAAUUGCUGCAACAGGAAUUCUGUUUCUCCAUUCUGAAAUGGAAGGCAAGAAUCGACACCUGUGUGGCUUUUACGUGUGCUCACUGCUCCAAACUCAAGUCCUUUAAUCAGCACAAAAUGUCCCUGUUCCCCUGUGCCAUGUUGUCAGUCCAUUUCUUCAAACUAUGUAAACUAUGGUCAAAAUAUUUCAUCAGUUACAUUAAGUGAUAAUGUAGGUACAAUUUAAUUACAUAUUUGUAUCAUUAAAAUUAUUUCAAUUGAGCUUUAUUGCAUAUACAUGUUUGGGUAUUUCUUGAUUUGUCAAGGAAAACAAAGCAGUUGCUACCUACCUUUAAAUAUGACAUUGCUUUAAACUAUGGCAUUUACUAAACUGACUUUUAUGAAUACUAGUUGGUUUUCAUUAUGAGGAAACUUCUUUUGAAUUCUAAUUUAUAUUUUCAAUGACUAGG
rnacentral:lncRNA from 1 species